rnacentral:lncRNA from 1 species
CAACUACCUGGCCAUGAUUAACCAAGUUAGUUGAUAGAUGUUUGAAAUACCAACAAACUGACAAUAAAAGUGAAGGAAGUAAACUGUUUGUCAUCAAAGAUGGCUGUCAUUGUGGAACAAAAUAAAGGAAUACCAUUAGUUAAGUUUUAAAGAAAACAAGCUGGUUUUCAAUCCUAAAUGUCAUGUAUGGGGCAUUCUUAUUAUAGUAAUUUGCAAGUUAUUGCCCUUAUUCAUUUUCAAAUUAGGUCAAGAAAAGUAGAUAUCAAGUGGUAAUCCCUAAAGAGGGAAGCAAACCUUUAAGUUGUACUUGUUGACGAGAAGAUUAAAAGUUUACUUGUCAUUAAGUGUUCUAAUCAUUGACAUAUGAUAAGGAAAAACUUCUAAAAAAAGAAAGAAAUUAACUCAAGUUCCAGUCCCCACACAUCCUCUUAAAUGUUUUUGCAGAUAAAAAAAUGCAUCAUCAAAAUUCACUCAAUGCUGGUUUUCAUAAAUGUCAGAAGUUAUUCCCUUCUUAUACAGUUGUAUAACUAUUUUGAAUGCAAAAUAAAAAUAAGUUUAAAAAAUUCCUCCAAUUGUGGGAACUUGCCAAAUCUGUCAUGUCCACCCAGGGUGGGUUUUUGGGGGAAAUGCAUACAUCUCGCAAUACCGGUAAUGACAUUAAUCAUACAGUUAGAAUUCAGAGUUUUUAAACACUUUAAUACCAUUUCCAUGUAUUUAUGCCAAUGUCUAAAAGGAAGAUAUUCUUGCAUAAACAUGUACAAUAUAUUAAGACCCCCUGCCUGUACAACAGCUACUUUGUAUUGACAUUUAUAUGUAUGCUAUACUGGUGAAUUUUUUUGUUAUCUACAUUUUAUAUUUAUUUACCAUGUUUACAGCCCUAAGUAAAUCAGCUUUUGACAUUUGUAUACCUUUUUUUGAUAUAAGUCAGAUAAGGAACAGGAAGUAAAUUACCUUUUUUAAUUUAUGUAAUGAAUACAGAUUAUAAAUAUACUCCCAGUAGAAUUACUAAACACACCAUGAACAAUCUCAAGAGGUCUACUUUGUAAAUGUUCUGUCAGAAAUUCUGUUGAUUUGCUUGCAAUUUCCCCAAAAUAAAAAUAUAAGUAUUAGUAUUAAUAGUAUUAGUUUAUUAAACAUUUUUUGGGGUGGGGUGGAGUGGAUGGUUCCAUACAAGUUGAUAAAUGUCUUGCUCACCUUGCUCACCUAGCUCACCUUGUGAUUGUGUUAUAUAUUAUUGAUCCACUACAUGUACCUGUUUUUUUGUCACAAAUUUGGUCUAUUCUGAGGCAUGGUACCCUGGUAACCCUGAGGAUAUACUGAUGAGAUUAUUUUUGGACUUUCUUAGCCUUGCAUUCAAAGAAUUUUUACUCACCAUAUUCACUUCAAUCUGUUUGGAUAAAUUUAAAUUAGAACAAUUGACUCCUUUUAGAAUUUGAUUUUAAGAGGUUGUGCAGUUAAAACUUUUGAUUUACAUGAACCUGUAUGUCAUGUAUGUAAAUGUAUACAAAUGGAUUUUGUAUCAAAGUCUAAAUUGAUAAUAUCAGUAAAAUGAGUGACAAUAAAUCAUAAUUCACAAUAGUACAUGUACUGACAAAUU